CUCAAUCUUAGACUAGGUCUAUGAGAAACAAAUUCACCGUCCAAACCCAAAGAAUGGACUCAGAGACCCGGAGAACAGCAAAAGUGAGAGUUUAACGACGAUCUUGCAAGAUCGGUUGUCUGAUGAGCGGGCACACCCAGCACACUUUGAACAACCGAUUUAUCCCGUGGUGCGCAGGUCCCUCCCCGGGUUCCUCACAGGGGAGACUUCUGCUCCAGUCUUGGGUGAAGACUUGUUCAUAGAGUGAAUGUAGACUUGGGAUCAGUGAAGGAAAAAGAGUGAAAAGAAACUUGUGAAGAAGCAGAGCAGAAAGAUGUGCAACCAAAUGGAGACAGGCUACCCUGGAUUCCAGGUGGUCUCACACUUCUGAGGACUGACAUAGAUACUACUGCUAAGAAGAUACUAUGAUGUAUGGUGGACUGGAUUACAAGGAAUCACUCUAGUUUUAAGAGACAAGAUAACUGGCAGAAGUGGGAAAAAAAAAAAA
rnacentral:lncRNA from 10 species